rnacentral:rRNA from 1 species
CUACGUGCCAGCAGCCGCGGUAAUACGGAAGGUCCAGGCGUUAUCCGGAUUUAUUGGGUUUAAAGGGAGCGUAGGCGGAUUGUUAAGUCAGCGGUUAAAGGGUGUGGCUCAACCAUGCAUUGCCGUUGAAACUGGCGAUCUUGAGUGCAGACAGGGAUGCCGGAAUUCGUGGUGUAGCGGUGAAAUGCUUAGAUAUCACGAAGAACUCCGAUCGCGAAGGCAGGUGUCCGGGCUGCAACUGACGCUGAGGCUCGAAAGUGUGGGUAUCAAACAGGAUUAGAUACCCUGGUAGUCCACACAGUAAACGAUGGAUGCCCGCUGUUGGUACCUGGUAUCAGCGGCUAAGCGAAAGCAUUAAGCAUCCCACCUGGGGAGUACGCCGGCAACGGUGAAACUCAAAGGAAUUGACGGGGGCCCGCACAAGCGGAGGAACAUGUGGUUUAAUUCGAUGAUACGCGAGGAACCUUACCCGGGAU